rnacentral:rRNA from 1 species
UACGUAGGGGGCAAGCGUUGUCCGGAAUCAUUGGGCGUAAAGCGCGUGUAGGCGGCUCGGUAAGUCCGCUCUGAAAGUCCGGGGCUCAACCCCGGGAGGCGGGUGGAUACUGUCGAGCUAGAGUCCGGAAGAGGCGAGUGGAAUUCCUGGUGUAGCGGUGAAAUGCGCAGAUAUCAGGAGGAACACCGAUGGCGAAGGCAGAUCUCUGGGCCGUAACUGACGCUGAGGAGCGAAAGCGUGGGGAGCGAACAGG